AAAUGUGUUUGGGCAAACGGAAGUGGAAGGAGGUUUAAACCAGCAGCAUUUACAAAGGAACUGGCAUUUGGUGGCCAGUGAGAAAGGCAAUGUGUUAGGAACAGAGGAAUGCUCAGGAAGAUGGAGGAGAUGAGAAAAAUAAUAGAUAAUUCGCCCUGAUUUGAGGUGAGCCAUGUCCAGUGCAUUUAAGGCCUUGGAAUUUAUCCCAUAAAUCAGCGUUUCUCAAACUGAGCUGUGUGGAAUACUGCAGACCACCCAUGGAUCUACUCUCAGAAAUCUGUGCGCUCUUUCCAGUUUUUAAUACUGGUGAUAUUUUAAAAUGAAGUAUUACAAGUCUAUUCUGCAUCAUCUGGAGAGCCAGCUCAGACCAAGGGGACAGGAGACCACAGUCACCUGAUUCCAGCGCCAUAGGCAUUUUCCAUUGAGGAUUGCUUCCAUGCCAAGGAAGGCACAGUGAUGUCAUGAAGAGGCUUCACAGUAGUUUGAAAGGAGAAGAGGAGGGCGAAAAUAAAGUCAUCACCUUGAACAAGGGUUUGCUCCCAUCAACUUGCUUCUUCUUGGAAAGCUAGAAUCCUGCAGCUGUAUUGACCAGCACAAAGACCUUUGUGCUGACUGAAUAACAAGGGGACCUUCAUGUGACUGGCAAGUGACUCGAUUUCCCAUGGGUUGCAUCAUGUUUUGGGGCACGAGUGCCCGCCUUGGUGAAUUUGGGGUCGGCUGCCAAAAUGAUUGGAAGAGAAGCCUGUUGUUUUCAC